UAUCAUGCCCUUUAUGUCCUGGCUACACACGUGCUACAAUGGUUGGUACAGAGGCAGCUAUAUAGUGAUAUAAUGCAAAACUCGAAAGCAAUCCCAGUUCGGAUUGUAGGCUGCAACUCGCCUACAUGAAGUCGGAGUGCUAGUAAUCGCGGAUCAGAAUGCCGCGGUGAAUGCGUUCCCGGGUCUUGUACACACCGCCCGUCACACCAUGGAAGUUGGCAAUACCCGAAGCCGAUGGCCUAACCGCAAGGAAGGAGUCGUCGAAGGUAGGGUCAAUGACUGGGGUGAAGUCGUAACAAGGUAGCCGUAUCGGAA
rnacentral:rRNA from 1 species